AGUGAACGCUGGCGGUAGGCCUAACACAUGCAAGUCGAACGGCAGCACAGUAAGAGCUUGCUCUUACGGGUGGCGAGUGGCGGACGGGUGAGGAAUACAUCGGAAUCUACUUUUUCGUGGGGGAUAACGUAGGGAAACUUACGCUAAUACCGCAUACGACCUACGGGUGAAAGCAGGGGAUCUUCGGACCUUGCGCGAUUGAAUGAGCCGAUGUCGGAUUAGCUAGUUGGCGGGGUAAAGGCCCACCAAGGCGACGAUCCGUAGCUGGUCUGAGAGGAUGAUCAGCCACACUGGAACUGAGACACGGUCCAGACUCCUACGGGAGGCAGCAGUGGGGAAUAUUGGACAAUGGGCGCAAGCCUGAUCCAGCCAUACCGCGUGGGUGAAGAAGGCCUUCGGGUUGUAAAGCCCUUUUGUCGGGAAAGAAAAGCAGCAGGUUAAUACCCCGCUGUUCUGACGUUACCCAAAGAAUAAGCACCGGCUAACUUCGUG
rnacentral:rRNA from 1 species